rnacentral:rRNA from 1 species
GAUGAACGCUGGCGGCGUGCCUAAUACAUGCAAGUUGAGCGAACAGACGAGGAGCUUGCUCCUCUGACGUUAGCGGCGGACGGGUGAGUAACACGUGGAUAACCUACCUAUAAGACUGGGAUAACUUCGGGAAACCGGAGCUAAUACCGGAUAAUAUAUUGAACCGCAUGGUUCAAUAGUGAAAGACGGUUUUGCUGUCACUUAUAGAUGGAUCCGCGCCGCAUUAGCUAGUUGGUAAGGUAACGGCUUACCAAGGCAACGAUGCGUAGCCGACCUGAGAGGGUGAUCGGCCACACUGGAACUGAGACACGGUCCAGACUCCUACGGGAGGCAGCAGUAGGGAAUCUUCCGCAAUGGGCGAAAGCCUGACGGAGCAACGCCGCGUGAGUGAUGAAGGUCUUCGGAUCGUAAAACUCUGUUAUUAGGGAAGAACAAAUGUGUAAGUAACUAUGCACGUCUGGACGGUACCUAAUCAGAAAGCCACGGCUAACUACGU